rnacentral:rRNA from 1 species
AGUGGCGAACGGGUGAGUAACACGUGGGGCAACCUGCCCAAAANAGGGGGAUAACACUUGGAAACAGGUGCUAAUACCGCAUAACCAUAGUUACCGCAUGGUAACUAUGUAAAAGGUGGCUAUACUACCGCUUUUGGAUGGGCCCGCGGCGCAUUAGCUAGUUGGUAGGGUAAAGGCUUACCAAGGCAAUGAUGCGUAGCCGAAUUGAGAGGUUGAUCGGCCACAUUGGGACUGAGACACGGCCCAAACUCCUACGGAAGGCAGCAG